AUCCCGGUAGCACAAUGGAAAGCGCGUUGGACUUUUAAUCCAAAUACCGUGGGUUCUAAUCCCACCUGGGAUG